rnacentral:lncRNA from 1 species
GGGCGGCUGCACCCUGGACGAGGGCUGCCCCAGGCGGGGGGAGCCGGCCACAGCCUGGCGGGACCGCAGGGCCACCCGGAAUAGCCCCUGCUCCCUGGACGGCGAGCUGGACAUUGAACAGAUAGAGAACAACUGAGGGGCCGCCGAGGGCCCUGGUCGGGGGCAGGGGGGCAUCAGAAUCGACGGGCCUCCCUCUCUACUCCUGGGUCCGAUCAAAGCCUCCUGGAAGGUGUCGGGGCCCAGGGAGCCAGCCCACCGCCUCCCCGAGCCGCUGUCCACCCUGCCGGCACAGCAGCCGCGGCCCACGGAACUGCUGUAGCCGCUAGAAGCUUCUCGGUUGCGGUCCCUCCCCUGUUUGUCUUGUGGGACAUCAGGACAGGCGCUGGGCCAUCCCCGCUGGGCCGUCGCGGGCGUUUGCGGCGGGGCUGGCCUGCUCUGCAUGCCGCCUCCCAGCCGGGCUCCCGCCUGGGCUCAGGUCCAUCUGCUGGGGUCCAGGCCCCUCUUGGCCUCCUGCUCAGGUUCAGGGCUGGGGAGCCAGCGCCCCGGCUUCUUCUCCCUCAGUUGUACUCCGUGCCUUCUUGCCCGGGGCUCAGGCUUCCAAGGGUCGGGCGAGGCUUCCUUCUGUAGUAACACCAGAACCAUUUGGCCUUAAUUCCAAGUGUGGGAGACAGAGGCCCGGGGUGCUGGCGUCGCCUUCAUGUCUGGACUCUUGGGGUCCAGGGAGCAACUUGGGGACCUUGGUUGGGCAGACGCUUGGUGGAUCUGUUGGCUGAAAGGACAGACCCACCGGCCCCUCCUAUGGGGUGGAGAGCCUGGCCCUGGGGCGCUGUGCCCCGCAUUGGGCGGGUGGGUGGCCUGCAACCAUGCUCCGUGCCGACCCUGGCACUGAGCGACGAGCUUAGAGGAUUCAGGUGAGUGGAGAGAAGUCCCCACCAAAGGGCGGCCUCUUGAAAACAUCCUCAGGAAGGAAGAGCUCCCUGCAGGGAACAGAGCCAGGCCCUGCCAUGUUUCGGGGACGAAGGUGUCUGCUGGCCUCCCGGGGACCAUGCUGUGUUCCAAGCGCAUUGUCCUUGGUGGGUUGGGGACUGGUCAGUGGGAGCAGCAGAGGGUGUAAGUGCCGCCUCCUCACUGUGGCCCCGCCACAGGCCACUGCGUGACGCAGGCUCACGCCCACCCCCUCCCAGGCCCUUUGCACCCCAGCAGCCCCCUCCCCCGGGACAAGCAGCCCCGGCCCCCUGUGGUUUUGCCCCCAGCCGGCUCCUCUCCAGCCCGGCUUGCAGGCACACCACACGGCUCUCUGCUCUCUUGGAAUCUGGCUUUUGGCAACCUGGCAUCUUCCGCAGGCAGUAGCAUCGGGUGGGCUUACGAGCAAGUGGCUCCUUUGCCCAUGAGGCUAAAAAUAACCGUGAGUCCCCUCAAGUUCGUGGGCCACGUGACAAAGACGCCUGGCUCGACCCCCACCUGGUGGGUUGUGCAGACCGUGUCUUCUCAGAGCUGGUCCAGGGGAGGCUGGGUGGCUGUUGGGUGGCAUCUGGCAGUGUGUGAAUUCAGAGUACAUGCUGGUGCCUCAGCCUCAGACAGCGUGGGGUGGGAGGUACUGACCCCUGGCCCGCCCGGGAGUGGCCACAGAGGCCUCAUGCCCUGGACGGCAGUCCUUCCUGGGGCGGGAGAAGCAGAGUCUUGUUUCCCUUCCCUGCAGGGAGGGGUGGGGGCCGAGCCAGGAUGGGCAGGACACGAGGCACGUGGUGGUGGGUGGUGCAGGGACACCCUCGGACCCUGCCGGCCGACUCCCCUGCUUCUCAGAUCCAGUGGCAGGGAAGGACAAGCAGUAGUCCCAGCCUCCCCACCGCCACCCCUGGCUGGUCCUAUUGGCCAGAAGCCCAGUCAUGGGGCACUUUUGGGCAGAAGGGAUCCUGGCCCAAGGCAAGGCUUGGCCCUCUCCAGCCUCUUCCAGCCUCCUUGGCUGCUCCCACCCUCGUGGAAGCUCCUUGCCCAAGCCUUCAACAGCAGCAGGGAGGGGAGAGAAUGGCCAGGGGCCCUUCUCGGAGAAAGAGAUGGCCCUCGGGUGGCUUUGUGUCUGUCUUUUUUUUUCUGUUCUUUUUGUCUUUUUCAGGCGGCACCUGCAGCAUAUGGAGGUUCUCAGGCUAGGGGUCAAAUCAGAACUGCAGCUGCUGACCUACACCACAGCCACAGCAACGCCACAUCCGAGCCGCAUGUGCGACCUAUGCCACCGCUCACAGCAAUGCUGGAUCCUUAACCCACCGAGCAAGGCCAGGGAUUGAACCCACAUCCUCGUGGAUGUUAGUCGGGUUAUCUUAACCCCCUGAACCACAGCGGGAACUCCUUCAUGUCUGUCUUGAUUGAAGGGAGCAGACCUUGUCCAGAAGGGGCCACCACACCCCCCCGCCAGAGAGGUCCGUCUGUGCCUGCUCCCCUGGUCCCAGGACUUCUGGUCUGGGAGGGCUGUCCCUGAGCCACUUCUGCUGGGGCCCUGCCUCUCGCCGCCGCCAAUGCCCAUGAACUCCUGCCUCUGAGGAGAGACUGAGGAGGCUCAGAGCUGGAGGGAGGGCCGUGCCAGGCUGGCCACCUGCCCAUGGGGCCUCGAAGGAUAAGAGCAGGGUCGUGGCUCCAGGAGAGCUGGAUGGAGAGGGGGCUCACUGCAGCGGGCGCACCUGCUAAAGCCACUGGAGAACAGGGGCUGCUGCCCUGGGGGCCGGGCUGGGGGUCAGGGCCGCAGCCUCACCGUUUACAUGACCGCAGACCCUCUUGCCUUACUCGCGGUGGAGGCCGGGCCCGGGCCACAGGAGAGCUUGUUCUGAUCAUACAUACGGAUUUUCAUUCUCAGAAAGCCUUACUCUUCAACAAAAUUUUUGUAGCAGGAAAGUUUUGUGCAUUUGUACACUGAAAGAAAAUUUAAAUAAGGGAGAAGUCCACAUUAGAAAGGAAACAAACCCAGCGUCCAAAGGGGUCCCCAGGACGGGGGUGGCGCGCGUAUCCCACUCUGCCCCGGACGCCCCGCCACGGGCUCAGGCCGCCUGCACUCCUCGCGGCCAGAGUCCCCUAACGAUGACCGCUUCGGGCUCCGCGGCCUGGGGCGCGAGCAGACCCCCCCGCCAGGGCAGUGUCUCUGUCCGGGCACGGGUGCCAUCUCUUGCCACAGCCACGCAGAUGGUCAAACCCCUCCCACUGGCGCCGCAGAAAACCAUGCCUCUUUCAAAGAGGGAAGGAGAGAAAAAGAUGAAAAAAGAAAGUCCCAGACCGCCGUGGAGAUCGUGUAGCCUAGGUAGGAUAGUCUGACCUUCUAGCAUAGUCUUUGGCAAAUAAAUUGUGUUUCAGCGAGGGGGGGCAAGGUCCUGGGGGCGCGGGGCCGGCGUGUCGGGGGGAGGGGGGCUCCUCUGGGGCCUGUGUGCUUCCCCAGCUGCACCCCGUGGGCUCCGUGGCACUUCAAGGAGGGUGGCGGCCGGGCCGUGCAGUGUCGGGCCAGGCCCCCCUCCCUGCCGGCCGGCGACACGCCGGGUCACCCCCUACCCCCGCCCCCUGCAGCCUGUCCUCCACACGGGCCACGACUGUCUUGCACUAGAGCCGCUCUAGUCUCAGGAAUUUGCUUGUUACUUUUACUGUGUAAAUAAAGCUUCCUGGUUCC